UACGUAGGGUGCGAGCGUUAAUCGGAAUUACUGGGCGUAAAGCGUGCGCAGGCGGUGCGGUGUGUCGGUGGUGAAAUCCCCGGGCUUAACCUGGGAACUGCCAUCGAAACUGGCGUACUAGAGUGUGGCAGAGGGGGGUGGAAUUCCUGGUGUAGCGGUGGAAUGCGCAGAUAUCAGGAGGAACACCGGUGGCGAAGGCGGGUCUCUGGGCCAUUACUGACGCUGAGGAGCGAAAGCGUGGGGAGCGAACAGG
rnacentral:rRNA from 1 species